rnacentral:rRNA from 1 species
CCUUCGGGAGGCAGCAGUGGGGAAUAUUGCACAAUGGGGGAAACCCUGAUGCAGCGACGCCGCGUGAGUGAAGAAGUCACUCGUUAUGUAAAGCUCUAUUUGCAGGGAAGAAAAUGACGGUACCUGAGUCAGAAGCCCCGGCUAAAUACGUGCCAGCAGCCGCGGUAAUACGUAGGGGGCAAGCGUUAUCCGGAUUUACUGGGUGUAAAGGGAGCGUAGUCGGCAGUGCAAGUCUGGAGUGAAAGGCGGGGGCUCAACCCCCGGACUGCAGUGGAAACUGUACGGCUGGAGUGCAGGAGAGGUAGGUGGAAUGCGUGGUGUAGCGGUGAAAUGCGUAGAUAUUACGAAGAACACCGAUGGCGAAGGCAGCUUACUGGACUGUAACUGACGUUGAGGCUCGAAAGCGUGGGGAGCAAACAGGAUUAGAUACCCGUGUAGUC